ACGACCUCAGAUCAGACGAGACAACCCGCUGAAUUUAAGCAUAUUACUAAGCGGAGGAGAAGAAACUAACCAGGAUUCCCUCAGUAGCGGCGAGUGAAGAGGGAAGAGC
rnacentral:rRNA from 1 species